rnacentral:ncRNA from 2 species
CUUUACGUUCUAGCGCAUGGCCUUGCUGCUUGUGCAGUGAGGUGACGAGGAAGAGGUUGUCGAUUUAUCAGCGGAUGCCUCUCGGCUUGCCGGUCGUUAGAAUGCUGUUAAAACUGUCGGGUAACUGGCAGGACAGAGCGGCAUUUGGGGCAGGAC